rnacentral:rRNA from 1 species
UAAAAUGGGAGGUAAAUUUCUCCUAAGGCUAAAUAACGGCGAGAGACCGAUAGCGAACAAGUACCGUGAGGGAAAGAUGAAAAGAACUUUGAAAAGAGAGUUAAACAGUACGUGAAAUUGUUGAAAGGGAAACGAUUGAAGCCAGUCGUACCUUCGGGUAAUCAGCCUUUUGGGUGCGAUUCUGUGGAGUUUGAGGAGCUUAACACCUUCAUGCUUUGCAUAUUCGUGCUCUUGGGUGUACUUGCCCGUGUGGUUGGUUAACAUCAAUUUCGGGCACCAUAAAAUGGCUGGAGGAAUGUAGCUUCGAUCUUGUAUUGAAGUGGUAUAGCCUUCGGUAGAUGUGGUGAUCGAGAUUGAGGAUUGCAACGGAUACCUUUCGGGGCUACCUGCCUGAUCUCUGAUCGUUGCUUUGGUGCUGAAAGCGUGCUUAUAGUUAUCAAAGUCGAUGGUUAAUAGGUUAGAAUGGGUUAA